UCUGUGCCUAGAUAAUUGCAAGUGUGGCAGUUGUGUCUAAUGUGCAUCCGUAGGUGGCAGAGAGGAGAGAGGCUAAGUCUAACCUCAUUGUUCUGGCCUGAGAACAUCUGAAUGAUUUACAAGUCUAACACA